UGGCUCAGUGGUUGAGAGCACUGACUGCUCUUCCAGUGGACCUGGGUUCAAUUCCCAG
rnacentral:tRNA from 1 species